GGACAUGUACCAGAGCCACUGUCCAGCCUGGCAGGGGGAUGCCAGUCCCUCUGCUCCAGGGACAAUGCUGGGUUGUGRUUUUUUCUUGUAACUUCUGUUGGAAGCAAUGAAAAUCAGUGCUCAGCACUGCUGGAGGCAGAGGGAAGGAUUUGUCCCCCUCGGGAUUGCUGGUCAGUAGAUGUUGCAGCAAGAGCCUGCAGCUGAUAUUAGUGAAUUUUGGGUUUUGCUGCACAAAGAAGAUCAGAAUGUGGCCUGGGGUGAGGGUGUUUGUGCUUUGGCAGUGGGUGUGAAAGGAGAAGCUCCAGAGGGUUGGGCGGCAACACGCCGGUUCUGUUCUCUUCCGUAGAUGGCCUUCCGGAGACACGCUGGGUGAGUGGAAAAUGUAAUGAAAUUCCCAGAGCCUCCUGGUGCACUACCAAGGUAUUCCUGCCAGCUUUCCAGCCCGAGAUGUUGGUGCAGCUGGAGGGGCCUGGGCCACAGAUAGAGGUGACUGUAGAUUAACCCCCAUCAGAGCAGGAUUACUGAGGGAGAGGUUUGCUUCACCAGGGAAAUAACCCACUGCAGAGCCAAGCUUACCUUUGGCAUAAAAUGAGCUGAACCAAGGGCUCGCAGUAAAUCAAGCUCUUUUCAAACUGCCUUUAUAUUUUUUAAAGCUCACUUGUUUAUUCUGGUUCACAAACUGAGAGUACAAGCAACAGUAAAAAUGUGAUGCAUCCCAAAUUCUCGCUGCGAGGAUGGGUUUCGUGACCACUGCAGUCUGUACAAGKUCUUUAGAUCCAAACCAUCUGUGGGGCUGAGAGUAUGCAAACUAUUCAUGUUGUCUUCAAGAUUUACCAGCGAGCAGGGCCCCAGAGUGCCAGAAUCUGUAGGAAAACAGAGACCUGCCUCACUGAUGGUGCUGGGGGUCUUGUUUGAAGCUUCUCUUGAAUAGAUUGAUCAUUGUCCUGCAGCAUUUAGUGGUGGRAAAGGAAGCAGGGAGGGGGUUUAACAAGUGUCUCAUAUGGUUUGURUUGUCUCUGCUAUGCUGAACCUUUCUUUCUGCUCACACAGCGGGGUUUUGCUUUGCCUCUGUUUCCUUUGUGCAGAUGGCAGCAAUAGGUUUCGUUUCCCCCCCAGCCGUCAAAUUAACAGCCUUGGCGAGCUUUCCUUUGCUGGCUAGUUUUGGGUGGUGCUGGAGAAUUGCUCCACUCAGUACAUUUCCAAGUCUGGCUUUUUAAGCCAAGCUCUAUAAAAAUAAACUUUUUUUUGUUGUUUAUUUGUUUGAGAGAAGGGACCUUGGGAAAGCAGAUAUGAAAUUUGCUCUGACUGUAUUUUGUCCGCUGAAGGAGUUGGCUUUGAGUUGCAUUAGAAUAGCAGAUUGGCUUCUUGCACAAAUCUCCCACAAGCAACGGGCUGAAUUGGGAAAAGCUGGUGGGCAGAGGUACUGGAAACAAUCUUCUGAGUUACAGCAUCUGCAGGAGGGACUAAUGAAAACUCUGGCCUCGUAUCUCCAAACUCCACAGCGAGGCUUUUCAAUCCACCCAGUUGCACUGGUCAGCUUCAGAAUACCACGAUAUCCUGAGCUUGCAAUUAACUUGCAAUGUGAUUUUGCUCUCUUUUCCCCAGUCACAGUAACCCAAAUCAAUCUCAAGGAGAAGUUGCAGACUGGCAGCCCCUCACCAUGCUCCAGUGGCACUACUGCCAACAUUUAUCUUACAGAGAAAUUAGUGAUCUGCAUUGCUCCAUCAAUACCAAUGCUGAUAUGAGUGGAUCUGAACCAGAAUCAGAGCCGUAUGUCUCCAAAGGAAGGACCAGCUCUGCCAUUUGAASAAUCCUCCUCCAUCUGCUGCUCGUGCUCCUGGCAGCGCGGUGAUGCCAGGCCUGCAGACACUGCCUCAGUCCCUCUGUCCCUCCUGUGUUCCYAGUGAGCCAGCCUGGCUGAGAUCACRUGCUGAAGAUUUCUGAGAAGUGCCUUUGUCUCCCAGCCCUGAGCUCGAAGCAGAGAUCACCUCACAGCUUGCUUWAGUCAGGGCUGCUGAAGGAGAAACAUUUCCUGGGUUUGCCUGGACACUCAGAGCCAGGGUAGCUUUUGAUUCUUAACUGGGCAGGUCCAAAGUUUUCAGUAGUUUUUUCAUGUCUAGAAUAGGAAUAUCUAGACCAGGAUGCUUCUMAGCACCCCACCGAAGCUCUCUGGUCUCAUUAACAGGGCUCUACACCCCCAAAUUAAUUACUCUGCAAUGUGCUGCUGUUCCAUUCAUGAGAUCCGUGGUUGUGUUGAAUUUUGGCAGUACCAGACUCUUUUUCCACUGCCUUUGAWCUCCUGUCUGGCUUUCCCCAAUCUUUCUAGAACCAUCUACUUAUCUUGCUGGCCAAAAGCUUUUCUGACCCUAAGGAGCUGACACAUUCCCUUCAAGUUGCACAGCUCACCCAUCUUCCCUCAUUCUCUUUUUCCUCUCACCAUGUUUGCUCUGCACAAAUUGCUCCCAGAAUGGAGCAGUUUUGCAUAGAUUUUGCAUAGAGGAGAGAUCACAUAGGACAAAUCUACCAAGCCAUUGCUUCUCCCUCAAGUUGCUCCUUUUGCUAUCACUUUUCUCCCCAGGCUCUAUUGCCCAAAUUCUCCCUGGCCUCCACAGACUGAGGACAGAGAGAGCAGGAAAAUGUUGCCUAAGAUUAAUUCUUCUCUCCAGCCUCUUUCUCMUAUCUCCACAUUUUUUUCUGUCUGAAUUCUUGCCCUUGGGGACAAAGAGKUUUUUUUUUAUACUGUGCAGAUAAUAUGAUGGUGGAAUACAACAUUUGGUGAGUGGAUCACCUGUAACCUCAUCUUCACUGCUCCUUUUCUUAUGCUUACAUCUUGAAUUUGAGGUUUGGAUUUGCACAUUUUCCUGCAGCACAGCCACUCUGGUACAAAGCCUUGGCUUYAUUGUAUGUAACAGGUCCUAGAAAGUUGCUUAGAUCUUUAUUUCUUGGCACAAAUAAUGUGGCAGGAGCAUUUUCAAURCUGCCCUCAUAAUGAAGGGAGAACUUUUCACUGGAAGUCUGCAAUCAUUUUUAGAAAAGAAUUUGGAGCAAUAAGAGUGAGUGACAGUUCUCCCCUCAAACCUUUUCUAUUAACUGACAGAAAGGAUGCCAUUUGCUUCCUUUGCAAAUAAAAUGAACGAAAUAGAGCGAAUGAUACCUGAAAAUGCCACAUAAAAAGUGGUAGUAAAAGGCAGCUCUCGUAUCUGUUGAGAAAGGACAUCAUUGUUCUUAUUCAGUCUCAGCCAUGAUGAGAAUCUCACCUUCCAGACCUGACUACACAACAGGCUAUUUUGAGGAGACAGUCUCUAGACAUUGCCUGGCUGUACAAGGCUUUUAAAAAAUAUAUAUUAAAUGUAGGCAAAAGGAUUACAUUCCAAAAAAAUCGGGCAUGUAAAUGAAAGCUCCUCAAAUCKUUGAAAAAUCUUCUUUAAUAUUAUAUAAUAAGAAAUACAUAACUGUGCCUAUUUUUACAGUAAUUUUCUUUCAUUUGAUGACAUUCAAUAGUAAGAUUUAUUAUUACCCGCAUGGAAAAUAUCCUGCCUGGGGGUGGUUGAAAUAGAUCUUGCAGACAAGUCAUCAAUCAGCUCAUGUUUAUCUCUUCAGAGAUCAGCGAUAUCAGUGGCAGGAACAAUUCCAACCAAUUCAAGAGUAUUUACUGAUAAUAAAAGGAAAUGUUCAUGUGGCUUUAUGCUGCUUCUCUCGCCAGAGGUCACAGGGCAUUUUUUGCAGGAGGGCUGAUUUAUUGAGGUUCAUUUGGAGAUGGGGCAGGGAGAGCUCUGACACCUCUGUGGCCAUUGCUCCCUCUCUGCAGGAAAGUCUGACUUCCCUUGCAGAGGGCUCGAAGAUAACACUGCUCCUCCCUGUCCCCACUGCUAAUGAGUUCAGCUAAAAGGAUUUAAGACUGAUGCAGACAAAAAGAUCUUUUACAUCAGCUGAAUUGCAUGCAAAAUUAUUGUCUUACGUUUCCAAGGAGUGAAUUGUAGCUUCUAACUGAACUCUGCUAUAAUUCUAAAGCAGAAGGUCUUGUAUUUGUGUUCCUGAUAGAGGGGUUUUUCAGAAUUUUAUGACARCAUUCAGAAUAUUUAUAGGUAUUAGCUGCAGGGUUCAGGACAAAGAUCUGUUGUCCUUGAGGCAAAAUAACAACCCUGACUUUACCUAGUGUUUGCCUCUUGGUGUAAUCAGUCUGGAACUAACACYGCAAUUGUUACCUAACCUGUGUAUGACACAAGGAUUUUUUUCCUCUCACUUUUGCUUUUUUUUCUUUGUAAAAUUCAGUAUUUAUACUUAGUGAGACAAAGAGCACUUUGAAUCACAACRUGAAGUGUAUGGUUUUAAAAAAGUUAUAAAGGGGUCUUUUUAUUUGUUUAAUUUCUAUGUUUUUGUCUAAGGAAAUUUACUGGAACAUUCAUUUCUGUUUGAGAGGAAACUUGCUCUAUGUGGACAAUAAAGAUGUUAAGAUCAGGAUGAAUGUCUAUGGGAGAUAAUAAUAAUGAAUGAAAAAAUGCAUCAGUCCAGCACUCAUAUUUUCCAGGAACUGCAAGAACUCAGUUCUGGGUUGUGUUUUAAAUCUGAGCCCCAUUGUUCCUGACUGGGUUGCGAGUCUGUUGGAAAGACUUCUCUUUGUUCCUCCGAGCUGCUCCGAUCUGAAGCAUUUGGASCAGUUCCAUAUUUGAAGCGAGAUUUUUAAGCUGAACAUGUAUUUUCAUUCUUCCAGCUUUAGAGUGGAAAGCGAAGCAUCUUGCCCCUGUUUCCUGCUGGACAUGAGCAGGGCACACUGACCCUGGCUGCAGUAAUUUGACCUUUGCUGAGCCGGCCAGGGGACACCAGCGGUUAUCAGUGGUACGUGAGAGGUGCCAGGAGCACAUUGCUGCCCUGCUGCAGGGAACAUGCCUUGUGAGGCAGCACAGCCAGCCUGUGCUCGGCCCUGACGUGAUUUSUCCUCCCCACAGAUACAAAGGUGGCUGAGAACAUUUUUGAUGCUGUGGCACUUGGUGGCAUUAAUCAAACGCGUGCGGUGUCAGGGCCAGGACUGAGUUGUGCCCUUUUGCAGGUGAAUGCCCCAGCCUGGUGGCACAGAGGUGUCUUUCCUCCUCUCAUUUUGUUCUCAGUCGAUACAGAAUUUUGUUCAUGACUGGUACUUGAGCUGUGAAGCUCUGAGGGUGACCUGCCCUUGCACACUCUGGCAUUUGCCCUGSUUGUGUGCAGCACGAGCCUGGGGAGCUGCUUCCCGCUCGCAGGCAGGAUUUGUUACUGGCUAAAGUUACUCUCCUUGUAAGAUAAGUUAUUUGGAAAUGCAGCCUCUCACCCUUUUAACGCCCACCAGUUAAACUUCUUCCCUUUCAAAAUGCCCACAUAAGGUUUCCUGACCCAGCCCAGCACCCACCUCGUGUCCCUGUGGCUGUGCUUGCUCUCCAGUGUCACAUCAUGUGUGAAACAAGAACUCCAAGAGCUCUGCAUUCCUGUGUCACCCUGCAUUUGUAAGCCCGACCCUGCUAUUGACAGAUGGCUGGUCUGUGAGACGGCUCUGACAAUACAACCUGGCAAAUAUUAGCCUGGAAAACACUCAGGAGCUCGUGGCCAUCAGCAAACCUGGGGUCCCCGAGAGGU